CCUACGGGAGGCAGCAGUGAGGAAUAUUGGUCAAUGGCCGCAGGGCUGAACCAGCCAAGUCGCGUGAGGGAUGACGGUCCUAUGGAUUGUAAACCUCUUUUGUCAGGGAGCAAAGGGCGCCACGUGUGGCGUUUUGCGAGUACCUUAAGAAAAAGCAUCGGCUAACUCCGUGCCAGCAGCCGCGGUAAUCCGGAGGAUGCGAGCGUUAUCCGGAUUUAUUGGGUUUAAAGGGUGCGUAGGCGGAUUGAUAAGUUAGAUGUGAAAUGUGCGAGCUUAACUCGGGAACUGCCUCUAAUACUGGAGGUCUAGAGAGUAGAGGCGGUAGGCGGAAUGUAUGGUGGAGCGGGGAAAGGCUUAGAGAUAAUACAGAACACCGAUUGCGAAGGCAGCUUACCAAGCUAUAUCUGACGUUGAGGCACGAAAGUGUGGGGAGCAAACAGGAUUAGAUACCCCGGUAGGC
rnacentral:rRNA from 1 species